GCUGGGUGUGGUGGCGCACGCCUGUAAUCCCAGUUACUCCGGAGGCUGAGGUAGGAGAAUCGCUUGAACCCAGGAGGCAGAAGUUGCAGUGAGCUGAGAUUGAGCCACUGCACUCUAGCCUGGGCUACAGAGCGAGACUCCACCUCAA
ensembl:misc_RNA Metazoa_SRP Metazoan signal recognition particle RNA